rnacentral:rRNA from 1 species
ACGGGAGUAGACAACAGGGAUUGCCCCAGUAACGGCGAGUGAAGCGGCAACAGCUCAAAUUUGAAAUCUGGCCCCCAGGGUCCGAGUUGUAAUUUGUAGAGGAUGCUUUUGGCGAGGUGCCUUCCGAGUUCCCUGGAACGGGACGCCACAGAGGGUGAGAGCCCCGUCUGGUCGGCCACCGAGCCUCUGUAAAGCUCCUUCGACGAGUCGAGUAGUUUGGGAAUGCUGCUCAAAAUGGGAGGUAUAUGUCUUCUAAAGCUAAAUACUGGCCAGAGACCGAUAGCGCACAAGUAGAGUGAUCGAAAGAUGAAAAGCACUUUGAAAAGAGGGUUAAAAAGUACGUGAAAUUGUUGAAAGGGAAGCGCCUAUGACCAGACUUGGGCCCGGUGAAUCAUCCAGCGUUCUCGCUGGUGCACUUCGCCGGGCACAGGCCAGCAUCAGUUUGGCGCGGGGGACAAAGGCUCUGGGAAUGUGGCUCCCCCGGGAGUGUUAUAGCCCACCGCGUAAUACCCUGCGCCGGACUGAGGUACGCGCAUUCGCAAGGAUGCUGGCGUAAUGGUCAUCAGCGACCCGUCUUGAAACACGGACCAAGGAGUCGUCUUCGUAUGCGAGUGUUCGGGUGUCAAACCCCUACGCGUAAUGAAAGUGAACGUAGGUGAGAGCUUCGGCGCAUCACCGACCGAUCCUGAUGUUCUCGGAUGGAUUUGAGUAAGAGCAUACGGGGCCGGACCCGAAAGAAGGUGAACUAUGCCUGUAUAGGGUGAAGCCAGAGGAAACUCUGGUGGAGGCUCGCAGCGGUUCUGACGUGCGAAUCGAUCGUCAAAUAUGGGCAUGGGGGCGAAAGACUAAUCGAACCUUCUAGUAGCUGGUUUCCGCCGAGU